GGUGAUCUACCCUUGGUCAGGUUGAAGUUCAGGUAACACUGAAUGGAGGACCGAACCGACUUACGUUGAAAAGUGAGCGGAUGAACUGAGGGUAGCGGAGAAAUUCCAAUCGAACCUGGAGAUAGCUGGUUCUCUCCGAAAUAGCUUUAGGGCUAGCCUCAAGUGAUGAUUAUUGGAGGUAGAGCACUGUUUGGACGAGGGGCCCCUCUCGGGUUACCGAAUUCAGACAAACUCCGAAUGCCAAUUAAUUUAACUUGGGAGUCAGAACAUGGGUGAUAAGGUCCGUGUUCGAAAGGGAAACAGCCCAGACCACCAGCUAAGGUCCCAAAAUAUAUGUUAAGUGGAAAAGGAUGUGGCGUUGCCCAGACAACUAGGAUGUUGGCUUAGAAGCAGCCAUCAUUUAAAGAGUGCGUAAUAGCUCACUAGUCGAGUGACACUGCGCCGAAAAUGUACCGGGGCUAAACAUAUUACCGAAGCUGUGGAUUGUCCUUUGGACAAUGGUAGGAGAGCGUUCUAAGGGCGUUGAAGCAUGAUCGUAAGGACAUGUGGAGCGCUUAGAAGUGAGAAUGCCGGUGUGAGUAGCGAAAGACGGGUGAGAAUCCCGUCCACCGAUUGACUAAGGUUUCCAGAGGAAGGCUCGUCCGCUCUGGGUUAGUCGGGUCCUAAGCUGAGGCCGACAGGCGUAGGCGAUGGAUAACAGGUUGAUAUUCCUGUACCACCUAUAAUCGUUUUAAUCGAUGGGGGGACGCAGUAGGAUAGGCGAAGCGUGCGAUUGGAUUGCACGUCUAAGCAGUAAGGCUGAGUAUUAGGCAAAUCCGGUACUCGUUAAGGCUGAGCUGUGAUGGGGAGAAGACAUUGUGUCUUCGAGUCGUUGAUUUCACACUGCCGAGAAAAGCCUCUAGAUAGAAAAUAGGUGCCCGUACCGCAAACCGACACAGGUAGUCAAGAUGAGAAUUCUAAGGUGAGCGAGCGAACUCUCGUUAAGGAACUCGGCAAAAUGACCCCGUAACUUCGGGAGAAGGGGUGCUCUUUAGGGUUAACGCCCAGAAGAGCCGCAGUGAAUAGGCCCAAGCGACUGUUUAUCAAAAACACAGGUCUCUGCUAAACCGUAAGGUGAUGUAUAGGGGCUGACGCCUGCCCGGUGCUGGAAGGUUAAGAGGAGUGGUUAGCUUCUGCGAAGCUACGAAUCGAAGCCCCAGUAAACGGCGGCCGUAACUAUAACGGUCCUAAGGUAGCGAAAUUCCUUGUCGGGUAAGUUCCGACCCGCACGAAAGGCGUAACGAUUUGGGCACUGUCUCAACGAGAGACUCGGUGAAAUCAUAGUACCUGUGAAGAUGCAGGUUACCCGCGACAGGACGGAAAGACCCCGUGGAGCUUUACUGUAGCCUGAUAUUGAAAUUCGGCACAGCUUGUACAGGAUAGGUAGGAGCCUUUGAAACGUGAGCGCUAGCUUACGUGGAGGCGCUGGUGGGAUACUACCCUAGCUGUGUUGGCUUUCUAACCCGCACCACUUAUCGUGGUGGGAGACAGUGUCAGGCGGGCAGUUUGACUGGGGCGGUCGCCUCCUAAAAGGUAACGGAGGCGCUCAAAGGUUCCCUCAGAAUGGUUGGAAAUCAUUCAUAGAGUGUAAAGGCAUAAGGGAGCUUGACUGCGAGACCUACAAGUCGAGCAGGGUCGAAAGACGGACUUAGUGAUCCGGUGGUUCCGCAUGGAAGGGCCAUCGCUCAACGGAUAAAAGCUACCCCGGGGAUAACAGGCUUAUCUCCCCCAAGAGUUCACAUCGACGGGGAGGUUUGGCACCUCGAUGUCGGCUCAUCGCAUCCUGGGGCUGUAGUCGGUCCCAAGGGUUGGGCUGUUCGCCCAUUAAAGCGGUACGCGAGCUGGGUUCAGAACGUCGUGAGACAGUUCGGUCCCUAUCCGUCGUGGGCGUAGGAAAUUUGAGAGGAGCUGUCCUUAGUACGAGAGGACCGGGAUGGACAUACCUCUGGUGUACCAGUUGUCGUGCCAACGGCAUAGCUGGGUAGCUAUGUGUGGACGGGAUAAGUGCUGAAAGCAUCUAAGCAUGAAGCCCCCCUCAAGAUGAGAUUUCCCAACUUCGGUUAUAAGAUCCCUCAAAGAUGAUGAGGUUAAUAGGUUCGAGGUGGAAGCAUGGUGACAUGUGGAGCUGACGAAUACUAAUCGAUCGAAGACUUAAUCAA
rnacentral:rRNA from 1 species